rnacentral:lncRNA from 1 species
AUAGCCUUGUGGUUACAUAAUAAACUAUAAUGUUUUAAUUAAGUUAGAUCUUUUCUUUUCAUACAGUCAAAUUUGAAUAUUGCUGUCCUUAUAGUUGUGCAACAAAAUAGCACACCCAAAAAUACCAUAAGCAUCUUAUAUUCACCAAGACUAUAUUACAUCUGUCCCCAUAGCAAGCCUUAUGGUUGCAAAAUAAAUCUACUAUGGUUCUUGACAUAACAUAGACCUAGCAUGAAGGGAAGCCUCAAGUAGUGUUUCCACUAUUAGGGUUUUUCAAUUUCAUGAUCGCUUAAUCAAAUUGGCCAAGU